rnacentral:rRNA from 1 species
UACGGGGGGGGCAAGCGUUGUUCGGAAUUACUGGGCGUAAAGGGCUCGUAGGUGGCCCCAUAAGUCAGACGUGAAAUCCCUCGGCUCAACCGAGGAACUGCGUCUGAGACUGCGGGGCUUGAAUCCGGGAGAGGGAUGCGGAAUUCCAGGUGUAGCGGUGAAAUGCGUAGAUAUCUGGAGGAACACCGGUGGCGAAGGCGGCAUCCUGGACCGGUAUUGACACUGAGGAGCGAAAGCCAGGGGAGCAAACGGGAUUAGAUACCCCGGUAGUCCUGGCCCUAAACGAUGAAUGCUUGGUGUGGCGGGUAUCGAUCCCUGCCGUGCCGAAGCUAACGCAUUAAGCAUUCCGCCUGGGGAGUACGGUCGCAAGGCUGAA